rnacentral:lncRNA from 1 species
GUUUGACUUGCAAAGUCAACAGUUCCAGUGCUGGGGUCUGGUCUGCAACCCCAGAGCUGGGAGGUUGGCUUGGUGGGAGAAUGCACCCCAGGCCAAGGCUCAGGAACUAACUCAUCAGAAGCCCUCCUUCCAGAAGGCUCUGUUCAUUCACACCAACAGAAGAAUCAGGAAGAGUUCGAGACAUGAAAAUGCAGAGAGACACAGGAGGCCAACCAGAUGCCCUCCAGUCCAAGUCCUACAGGUGUCUUCGGCUCUUUGACUGUUUGGGGGCCUCAACAACUGUCCAGAAGAAGGUGGGAUUUGCCUGUUACACAGCAGUGCAGUUCAGUGUUUUCAUGGCCCUAAAUCUCUUUGGAUGGCCUUAAGGAAACCCCAGCAAGGAGCCAACACAAGAUGAGUAAUGGUAUAGUGACUCAGACAAGAACAAGAUGUCUCUGAAUGAAAGAAAACAGUGUACUCCAACCACAGGAAGCCGGAAGCGGAAACCACCAUGAGAGCCAAAAGUCAGUCUUGAAGUAGCACACCUGCCAACUACCAAAAACUGUCCUCAGGUUGGAAAUGAAUUAAACCAAUGGCUGUCCUCUCAGUAAAAACUCCGGUGUCCAAAGUAUGCUGUCUUCUCCUAUCCCUUAAAUAAGACUUCCUUUUGAGGUAUACUGUUUAAACAACUCUGGGGCAGGAAUUUCCUAAACUUCUCUUUUGCUGUGUGAGAGGACUAGCCACCCAUUGAGGGAGAGUCUGUCAAUUCCCUUUUGUUUUUCAGCUCUUGGGAUGCAGCUAUGGCACAUACUGCUGGCUUCCCACCUAAUAUCCAUUUCUCUUCUCGCUUAUUAACAGAAUCCACAUUAGAGGGUAUACUAAUGUUCCCUGAUAAAAUUUAUAUUUCCCA